GACGAACGCUGGCGGCGUGCCUAAUACAUGCAAGUAGAACGCUGAAGGAGGAGCUUGCUUCUCUGGAUGAGUUGCGAACGGGUGAGUAACGCGUAGGUAACCUGCCUGGUAGCGGGGGAUAACUAUUGGAAACGAUAGCUAAUACCGCAUAAGAGUAGAUGUUGCAUGACAUUUACUUAAAAGGUGCAAUUGCAUCACUACCAGAUGGACCUGCGUUGUAUUAGCUAGUUGGUGGGGUAACGGCUCACCAAGGCGACGAUACAUAGCCGACCUGAGAGGGUGAUCGGCCACACUGGGACUGAGACACGGCCCAGACUCCUACGGGAGGCAGCAGUAGGGAAUCUUCGGCAAUGGACGGAAGUCUGACCGAGCAACGCCGCGUGAGUGAAGAAGGUUUUCGUAUCGUAAAGCUCUCUUGUAAGAGAAGAACGAGUGUGAGAGUGGGAAGUUCACACUGUGACGGUAUCUUACCAGAAAGGGACGGCUAACUACGUGCCAGCAGCCGCGGUAAUACGUAGGUCCCGAGCGUUGUCCGGAUUUAUUGGGCGUAAAGCGAGCGCAGGCGGUUAGAUAAGUCUGAAGUUAAAGGCUGUGGCUUAACCAUAGUACGCUUUGGAAACUGUUUAACUUGAGUGCAAGAGGGGAGAGUGGAAUUCCAUGUGUAGCGGUGAAAUGCGUAAUAUAUGGAGGAACACCGGUGGCGAAAGCGGUCUGUUGGCUUGUAACUGACGCUAAGGCUCUGAAGCGUGGGGAGCAAACAGGAUUGGAUGCCCUGGGGCUUCAAGGGGGAAGUGCCACGUGGAUAUAUGCUUAUGGAUCGCGUGAAGUCGUGGGGGAGACCCGUGACCCAGCGUUUGGGCCUGUGAUUGAGGGUAAUAUUGUGGGGGGUGUAUUGGUGUGUGUA
rnacentral:rRNA from 1 species